rnacentral:rRNA from 1 species
UAAAGGUGGACUGCCGGAGGACAUUG